UACAGAGGAUGCAAGCGUUAUCCGGAAUGAUUGGGCGUAAAGCGUCUGUAGGUGGCUUUUUAAGUCCGCCGUCAAAUCCCAGGGCUCAACUCUGGACAGGCGGUGGAAACUACCAAGCUGGAGUACGGUAGGGGCAGGUGGAACUUCCGGUGGAGCGGUGAAAUGCGUUGAGAUCGGAAGGAACUCCGGUGGCGAAAGCGGCCUGCUGGAUCUCUACUGACGCUGAGGCGCGAAAGCCAGGGGAGCAAACGGG
rnacentral:rRNA from 1 species